rnacentral:rRNA from 1 species
ACGAACGCYGGCGGCGUGCCUAAUACAUGCAAGUCGAGCGGAAAUUUUAUUGGUGCUUGCACCUUUAAWWUUUUAGCGGCGGACGGGUGAGUAACACGUGGGUAACCUACCUUAUAGAUUGGGAUAACUCCGGGAAACCGGGGCUAAUACCGAAUAAUACUUUUUAACACAUGUUUGAAAGUUGAAAGACGGUUUCGGCUGUCACUAUAAGAUGGACCCGCGGCGCAUUAGCUAGUUGGUGAGGUAACGGCUCACCAAGGCAACGAUGCGUAGCCGACCUGAGAGGGUGAUCGGCCACACUGGGACUGAGACACGGCCCAGACUCCUACGGGAGGCAGCAGUAGGGAAUCUUCCACAAUGGACGAAAGUCUGAUGGAGCAACGCCGCGUGAGUGAAGAAGGAUUUCGGUUCGUAAAACUCUGUUGCAAGGGAAGAACAAGUAGCGUAGUAACUGGCGCUACCUUGACGGUACCUUGUUAG